rnacentral:piRNA from 1 species
CUGACAGUCAUCCCAAGUCAACUGGCUUGU